rnacentral:rRNA from 1 species
GAUGAACGCUGGCGGCGUGCCUAAUACAUGCAAGUCGAGCGAACAGCCUAGGAGCUUCCUCCUUCUUCGUUAGCGGCGAACGGUUGAGUAACACGUGGAUAACCUACCUUUAAGACUAGGAUUACUUCGGGAUACCUGAGCUAAUACCGGAUAACCUGUUCAACCGCAUUGUUCAACAGUCAAAGACGGGCUUGCUUUCAUUUAUUGAUGUAUCCGCGCCGCAUUAGCCAGUCGGUAAGGUAACGGCUUACCAAUGCAACGAUGCGUAACCGACCUGAGAGGAUACUCCGCCACACUGGACUGGAGACAAGGUCCAGACUCCUACGCGAGGCAGCGAUAGGGAAUCUUCCGCAAUAGGAGGAAGCCUGACCGAGCAAAGCCGCGUGAGUGAAGAGGGGCCUCGCAUCUUAGUUCUAAUUUAUUUGGGCAGAACAAAUGUGUAAGCAACUAUGACCGUCUUGACGUUACUUAACAAAAAAGCCACGGCUAACUCCGUG